ensembl:misc_RNA Metazoa_SRP Metazoan signal recognition particle RNA
GCUGGGCAUGGUGGCCCACACCUCUAAUCCCAGCUACUCGGGAGGCUGAGUUGGGAGGAUUGCUUGAGCCCAGGAGUUUGGGGUUGCAGUGAGUCGUGAUCAUGCCACUGCACUCCAACCUGGGCAACAGAGCAAGACACCAUCUCUA